CCUACGGGGAGCUGCAGUGGGGAAUAUUGGACAAUGGGCGAAAGCCUGAUCCAGCCAUGCCGCGUGUGUGAAGAAGGCCUUCGGGUUGUAAAGCACUUUCAGUGGGGAAGAAAGCCUUGGGGCUAAUACCCUCGAGGAAGGACAUCACCCACAGAAGAAGCACCGGCUAACUCCGUGCCAGCAGCCGCGGUAAUACGGAGGGUGCGAGCGUUAAUCGGAAUUACUGGGCGUAAAGCGCGCGUAGGCGGUCUGAUAAGCCGGUUGUGAAAGCCCCGGGCUCAACCUGGGAACGGCAUCCGGAACUGUCAGGCUAGAGUGCAGGAGAGGAAGGUAGAAUUCCCGGUGUAGCGGUGAAAUGCGUAGAGAUCGGGAGGAAUACCAGUGGCGAAGGCGGCCUUCUGGACUGACACUGACGCUGAGGUGCGAAAGCGUGGGUAGCAAACAGGAUUAGAUACCCUUGUAGUC
rnacentral:rRNA from 1 species